AUCCCCCAGAGACUGCCGGAGUUUUUCUACAGCCUUCUGGAACUCGUAGUCCUUUAAGAACUCGGAGAGGGCUUAUGCCGCGGGCGGGUAACCGAAGGUGGACUGCAUUUCCCAGUAUGCAUGAAGAAACCUGGGCGCUGAGGAGGGCGGGAGGACUGUUUCCAUAGCAAAGGCGGCUGGUUGGGGAUGGCUGACGGAGAAAUGGGGCCGACCGCGGGACCCUCGGAUUGUGCGUGACUUCGGGCAGCCUCUUGGGAGGGCGUUUCGAUUUUUUUCUCCUCGAUACCCACCAUAGGACUCUGGGCCUCAGUUUUCCUAUCUGAGAAGAAGGGCGUGGAUCCGUCCCCCUGCCCACAGUCCGCGGUGUGGGGCAAACUGAGGUCGAGCCGCUUUGGUUUGCCCAGCAAAGGCUCUACAGAUGUCGAGGUGGAAGUGGGUCCCAGUGGCUCCCACGUGACCCCAGUUAUGUCCAUGAAGCAGCAGAGCCCACAUGCCACACUACCUUGGCUGCCCAUCUCUGCAAAUAUGUGGCCGGACUAGAAUGUUCAAUCCCAGGCAGAUCCCGAUGUGGCUACUCUCCUAGCUGCACUGUGAAGACAUCCCGCCAGCCUGCCUCCUGCCAUUAAGAUUUCUCUGACAUAAAUCGCCCUGGUUCACUGUAUCCCUGAAGCUCCAAAGGACAUGUAUUGAGCCUUCUGAGUGAUCCCACAGAAGCCCCUUUCCCAAAGCUUGAGAUGACUUGCAGGAGUAGUAGGUCCUAGUGGCCAGCAGGUGACGCUAGAGCCCAGCGCUCCGCAGACUGACCCCUGGAAGUUCUAAACUGUAGCAGGUGUUGGUCUGAUGUGCGGGAGAGGAUCCGGGCUCUGAGAAAUUGCUUUCCCUCGUGUCCCACUCGAAGCUCGGCCUCAGAUCUAGCAGUGGAUGACUGAAGCUACUCAUCCUCCACUCAGCGCCUCAGUCGUGUCCUCCUGGCCUGAGAGUGCAUGGAAGACAGUCAGGGGAUUCGAGUUCCCUGUUGGUCCAGUAAUCGGUGCUUCUCUGACUGAACAGAGUCGGAUCUGGGCAAGCUACCUGCGUCAGGUCCCAUUUUUUUCUCACGAAUUCUCGUGGAAACUGUGGGGUGGAACAUUUUUAUGAACGUUUUAAGAGCCUGGAAUUUGGAUAUUCCUGUGUAAGCCAGAAGGCUUGGACCAACGGUGGGCCAAGUGAGGAAUUGGUCAAAUCCAGGUGGAUGUUAAAGAUAGAGCAGAUAAAGGGAAGGCGUUUGGCAUUAAUGACGGUCUUUUCGCCUCUGUGCAUCAUCCGUUUCCCCAGCAGAGGGGCGGCCUCCUACCCACCCUGUCGCGGGGUGUGAAGAGGCUUUGGAGCACUACUCGGGCACCUGGUGGUCCCCGCCGAUCCUCCUGGGCCAGGACCUCAACAGGACUUGUGAGGUGGUCUUUUCCGCGGCAGUACUCCCAAGUCCGGAGCAGACGCCGAGGUAGUUGUCAUGGAGACAGGAGCGCGGAGAAGAAUGUGGCUCUUGAUUGGCUGGGAGGCUAGUUAGCGUCACGCCCCACGCCCGUGGCGUAGCGGUCAACCCCCAGGUGUGGACUGGUCUCGGAGAAACUGGACUUUCAGCGCUCUUCGCCCUGUGGCCGGCCGGACGACAUAGGCCGACCAGGAGACUGUCGCUCCCCUCUCGGUCCCCUCGGCCGGGAGGGCCGGCCGGAACGCGGCCCCUGAACUUCGGAAAGAAGGGGACCAUGAAAAACAAAACUCAACUUGGCUUCAUUUAGGGAAGGUCUUCCAGGUGAAAGCUGACUUUCAGUGCUCCACCUAACACUCUUAAGCUGUCAUUUCUGCUUCGUUUUUGCCCUCUGUGUAUUCCUUACCAAUUUUCCAGUGCAUCAGUGCAUUUUAAAAGGUUUUAAAACGAUUCCAUCCAGCAUUAAAGUUGCUUUGCCACAGCGGCAGAAACUAAGUGCAUUUGUGAAUUCCUUAGAGGAAACCCACCGAUACCUGACUUGGAGAUCUGGCUUCACUUCAACCUCUUC